CUUCCGGCUUCAGGGCUGUAUGGAGAUCUGCUCCUACGAUAUCUGGUCUACCUUCCACAUACCGAGUGAACAAGUCAAGUAGAUUGCGGCUAGACUGUAGUUCCUACACACGGUCAGCUACAACACCUACAUACAGGUGGACGAACAGAGGGUUAACUGUUAGCACAGGGGCUGUACUCGACAUAGUCAACAUCAACAAGAAUCAAGCUGGACAGUACACCUGCACUGCCACGAACACAGUGGGGGCUGACUCAGCAACUGUCAAUGUGGUGGUACAAUAUUCACCUGAAAUAUCUGGCCUCCCAUCAACAUACCAAGUGACCGAGUCAACUACUUUAAGACUGGACUGUAGUUCAUAUACAACACAUGGCUACCCUUCUGCAACAACCUACAAUUGGUCAC